rnacentral:lncRNA from 1 species
GGUAGUACUGUAUUGUACCUCAGGAACCAUCGAGAGAGGCUAGUAUCUGUAUUGUACUCCGGAACCUCGAGAGAGAGGCUAGUAUCUGUAUUGUACCUCAGGAACCUCAGAGAGGCUAGUAUCUGUAUUGUACCUCACCAACCUCAGAGAGAGAGGCUAGUAUCUGUAUUGUACCUCAGGAACCUCAGAGAGGCUAGUAUCUGUAUUGUACCUCAGGCACCUCAGAGAGAGAGGCUAGUACUCUGUAUUGACCUCAGGAACCUCAGAGAGGCUCGUAUCUGUAUUGUACCUCAGGAACCUCAGUGAGGCU